ensembl:lincRNA Gm20468 predicted gene 20468
ACCAUUUCAGAAGGCAGUGUGCUCGCUGAUGAAAAGGCCAUGGUCAUUCUCUUAGGAAAUCUGCUGGGUCUGGCUCUGACAGUCCUCAGCUGCUCCAUAUAUCUUCCAUCAGUUCCAUCGAGCCAAAAAGAUGUCAUCACCGUUUUCUCCUAGCAACAAGGAAUAAAAGGGCCAUCUCCAACAAGACUGUCAGAAAAAUGAGGAACAGAGGCCAAGAUGAUUGGAAUAUCCUUUGUGACCCGAGAACCCCUGCUACUGUUCUCAGAGCUCUGCCCCUUGACCCUACUGAGGCUCCAACAGACUGGCACCAGAUAUUUCGCUUCAGUGAUGCACAAGUGAUGACUCCAUCCUCCAUCUGCAGGGCCCAGCAACUUCAACAGAGAGUAUUUGGAAACAAAGUGAGGAGUGCUUGCAGUCUUUCCAGCCUUUCCUCCUGACACUCCCUCAACCCAG